GGGACGUUAGCUCAGUCGGUAGAGCAGCGGACUUUUAAUCCGUUGGUCGCAGGUUCGAAUCCUGCACGUCCCA
rnacentral:tRNA from 2 species